rnacentral:misc_RNA from 1 species
GCCCCUUUGAAUCUUUCACUAAGAUGAAGUGCGUCAGCAGAAGUGUCAAUAGUUUACAGAUAGGACUAAUAGCAUAACUGUCUGACACUGUAAAAGUAGUGUAUGAAUGUCACUUUGAUUUCAUAUUCCACCCUAUUUGCCAUAGGACCAUGCACUUCAAUGAAUUCUACAAAAAAAACUUUAUCUAUAGACAAUGAGAAAGAAAGUCAGCUAGCACCAUUAUAAGAAUGCACUGAA